UAAUGACAGAUUGCCGUGCUUAUAUAGCUAAGAAGGGAUGCAUAGCGUGGAAUCAAACAUGGCCGAUGGUGGCGAACCAAAGACCACUAGGUGACUCGAACAUUGCUGAUGGAGGCUGCAAACGGGUUAAGCUCAUCGGGAUGCAGAGUUGUCCACAUGUUGUGACCCUGGUUAAUGCUCUAAGAGGGAGCACCACGUCACCCAGAACAACAAACCAUGCAGACCCACUGCACAACUGCAACUGAACAGGCUCUAUGAGUGACCAGGGCAGCGAGGGUGAGGCUGGCUGUGUCCAGAUGCUAGAGGAGGAGGAGCUGGAGGGGAGGCAGAGCUGCGAUGGAGGAGUGGUCGAGGACGAUGAUUUUGACGACGACGGAGAGCCCAGAUUGUGCCGGGUGUGUGGGGACAAUGCCACCGGUUACCACUUCAACGCCAUGACUUGUGAAGGCUGCAAGGGCUUCUUCAGGCGAGUCUCCUAGAUAUUCAGUGCUAUUUCCAUUCACAAACUGACUCUAUAAUAUGCAGAAUAUAAUUGAAUGGUUUCACAGACCCUGAUUAGCACUAAUCUUGGAUACCUAAUGUUACCAUUGAUAAGAUUCUGUAAUCCAAGAUUCGUGCAAAUCUAGGGUCUAUGCUCUAUAAUGUUUCAGUUUUACCCUGCUUUUCUUAUAGUUACAAUAUGCAUUUACCAUGGUUUGCCAAGGUUUUUUUUACAUAUCCCUUACUAUACUUCUCUGAACUUUACAAUGCUUACCCAUGCUUUACCAUGCUUUCACUAUGCUUUAUUACACAUUGCUAUGCUUUUACUUUGGUAAUCUUUUGUAAGGGUGAAAUCAGACAAAGAACUAAUAAUCAUAUACGUCUGUAUAAAGUACAGGAGUUCAAAGCCUUCUGAUUUAGCUGAUAAUAAGACUGUGUGCCGCCUGUAGUUAUUAAACACAAAUGUUUUCACUGACUGCCUCAGAACACGUUCAAAAGAACUGGCAAAAUUAUCAAAGUGAUUAAAUAAAAGCAAUUUAUGAGGAGGUUGAAAAAUUUAAAAUGUAUUAAAAUUCAAGAAAACUACAGCAAUAAUGAAAAUACUCUGAGCAAUAUACAAAAUUAAUAUGAAUGUCAGAAACUUGAAAGACUAUAGUUUAUAAUAGUAGUAAUACAAUACAAAUCAAGCUGGUACUAUUUCAAUACACCCUUUUCCCAGAAGUUCACUAAAACCAGAAGAGUGCCCCUAGGAUUA